UAAUGCUAGUGACACGCUGUUUUUAAUCACCACAGCUUGGUAGCAUAAACUUGGUAUCUGGGAUAAUAAUACGUCUAGCAGUUCAUUUGGCUCUGUUGGGUGUUCAUGUUUCUGUAUGAAAUUCAAGAUUAUAUUUUUCAAUGUCGGUGAAGAAUUGCAUUAGAACUGCGAUGAGGAUUACACUGAAUCUGUACAUUGCUUUUGAUAGGUAACUUAUACUCAUCGAAAAGGUCCACCCCAGCAGGCUAGUUUUCAGAGUGCUCGAAGGUGCUAUUCACGUUACCAGAGGAGAAAAGGAAUGAGCAGCCUGUGAACUCUGUGAGCUUCAACAACAACUGGCCUGGCAGACAUGACCAUUGUUGCAGUAGUGGUAUGAAUAUCACAGGAGUAAACCAACCACUUUCUGCUUGAAUUUAAGGCCCACCCCACAAGUUAAAGCAACAUUAUUAGGGCAAAUAACUUGUUGCUAGAUAGUAGAUGUAGUCUAGGCUAGUCUUAAACUCACAGAGAUUCACCUGCCUCUGUCUCCUGAGUGCUAAGAUUAAACAUGUACAUCACACUGGGCAGUGGUGGCGCACACCUUUAAUCCCAGAACUUGGGUGGCAGAGGCAGGCGGAUUUCUGAGUUCGAGGCCAGCCUGGUCUACAGAGUGAGUUCCAGGGCAGCCAGGGCUACACAGAGAAACCCUGUCUCGAAAAAAAAAUUUUUUUUUAACAUUAUUUCACCUGGCUUGGAACAUGUAUGUAUUUUGGGAGAAAUUACAAAACUACCCAAACUGAAGGACAUAAAUCUACAUUCUUGGUUCAUAUAUGGGAAAAUGAAUCAUGCUUGCCCCAGGCCAGAAAGAAAGCUCUCACCAUUGGCAGAAGCCUCUUCCAAGCAGAACACUCCACAGGGUAAAGGAUGGGCAUGAGAGAGUCCGCAGAAGAAGACAAGCUGACCUCGCGGGUAUGCCACCAGCUGCUGCUUCUGGAAACUGAAGGAAGUUUGGAGCCUCUUGAAAUGAUGCAGCACUGUUUUAAGUAGAUGGCUACGGUACUGGCAGUCAGAGUGCACUGUUCCAAAUGCUUGUAAAUUGGUCAUCUAAAGGUUUCUGACCUUGAGUUUUCUUAUCUAUAAAAUGGGAAUUAUAUGCUCUUUAAAAAGAAAGUAUGAGCAUGUACACCUAAGUAUGUGUAUGUGAAUGAAAGUACAUAGACAUAGACUCCUAAGAAUAUUAGGAGGGUCAUUUGAAGGACAUUGUCUCGGAUCUUGAAGGGUUAACAGAGAGAGGGCAUGUGCUUAUGCAAGAGAGAGAAAGAGAGAGAGAAAGAGAGAGAGAGAAAGAGAGAGAGAAACUGAGGACUACCAAGCACAGAAGACAUAGAAGAAAAUAAUGACGACACAGUCUCUACACUCAUAAGACUUGAUAAGUAAGAGUUUCCUAGGCAAAGAAAUAUAUUCCUGACCAGAGAAUAGGGUGGUUGUGUUAUAUAUCAGAUGCAGCACAAACACUGUAAAAGCGUUGCACCAAUUGUCUUAAUUAUUUAUUAAAGCUUUUUUUUAAAAUUUUAUUUUUAUAUGUGCACGUGUUCUGCCUGUAUGUAUGUCUGUGUGAAGGCAUCAGAUCCCCUGGAACUGAAGUUACAGACGGAUUCGAGCUGCCAUGUGGGUGCUGGGAAUUGAACCCUGGUCCUUUGGAAGAACAGCCAGUGUUCUU
rnacentral:lncRNA from 1 species